UGCCCCAUGGCUGAGUUGGUUACAGCGUCCGACUGUUAAGAAUCUGUUCUCAGCUCAUCGGAAGGUCGUGAGUUCGAGCCUCACUGGGGCAG